UUAAUUCGAAGCAACGCGAAGAACCUUACCUAAGCUUGACAUCCCAAUGACAUCUCCUUAAUCGGAGAGUUCCCUUCGGGGACAUUGGUGACAGGUGGUGCAUGGUUGUCGUCAGCUCGUGUCGUGAGAUGUUGGGUUAAGUCCCGCAACGAGCGCAACCCUUGUCUUUAGUUGCCAUCAUUAAGUUGGGCACUCUAGAGAGACUGCCAGGGAUAACCUGGAGGAAGGUGGGGAUGACGUCAAAUCAUCAUGCCCCUUAUGCUUAGGGCUACACACGUGCUACAAUGGGUAGUACAGAGGGUUGCCAAGCCGUAAGGUGGAGCUAAUCCCUUAAAGCUACUCUCAGUUCGGAUUGUAGGCUGAAACUCGCCUACAUGAAGCUGGAGUUACUAGUAAUCGCAGAUCAGAAUGCUGCGGUGAAUGCGUUCCCGGGUCUUGUACACACCGCCCGUCACACCACGGGAGUUGGAGACGC
rnacentral:rRNA from 1 species